rnacentral:misc_RNA from 1 species
AAGUCGUAACAAGGUUUCCGUAGGUGAACCUGCGGAAGGAUCAUUAAUGAGAGAGGGGCUUCGCGCCCCCGGGGGCUUCGGCCCUCAACUCUUCACCCACUGAGUAUCUACCUUUGUUGCUUUGGCGAGCCUGGGGGUCUCCCCCGCACCGGCCUCGGGUUCACUCCCCGGGUCGGCGAGCGCCCGUCAAAGGCCCAUUCAAACUCUUUUUAUCAGUGUUGUCCGAGUCAAAACUUAAUAGUAUAAAACUUUCAACAACGGAUCUCUUGGUUCUG